AGUGGAAUUGCUAGGUCAUAUAGUAUUUCUUUGCUUAAUUUUCUGAGGAACUAUCAAAUUGUUUUCUACAGUAGCUGAACAAUUUUGCAUUCCUAUAAGCAAC
rnacentral:pre_miRNA from 1 species